UUAAGUCCCGCAACGAGCGCAACCCCUACGUUUAGUUGCUAACGCGUGAAGGCGAGCACUCUAGACGAACUGCCGUUGGACAAAACGGAGGAAGGUGGGGAUGACGUCAAAUCAUCAUGCCCCUUAUGUUCUGGGCUACACACGUGCUACAAUGGCCGGUACAGACGGACGCAAAGCCGCGAGGUGGAGCAAAUCCUAAAAAGCCGGUCUCAGUUCGGAUUGCAGGCUGCAAUUCGCCUGCAUGAAGCUGGAAUCGCUAGUAAUGGCAGAUCAGCAUGCUGCCGUGAAUACGUUCCCGGGCCUU
rnacentral:rRNA from 1 species